AGCGAGCAAAUCCUCAUUGACUCCCAUGUUAAAAAUACCAUUUUCACAGCAGAAAUGAACAUGUUUACAGCCUGGUACCAAAACAUGUUUUUGGUUUAAAUGAUCUAGUUUACACUCAUGUCAACUCUGAGGGGGUGUGUGUGAAUUUUUUUCUCACUCUUCUGUUUAAGUGUAUGAAAAGCCUAAAAUUAUAAUUAAUGAGCAUCAGACCCACGUGACCACAGAGCUAGCUCCGUGGAAAGGCCUCAGUAGAGCCUCGGUCUAGCUUGGAAACUGCUCCGGCAUUUUGAGUCUCUGUGUUUGUGUAUUCUUGUAUGGAUAUUUUUUGUGCAAUUGUUAGACAAAAUGACUUGCUGUGGCAUUAAUUGCACUAAAAGAGCAUUCAAGGAGUCUCCACUUCAUUUUUUUUCGAAAUACAUAUGAAACCCAACAAGCAUGCCUGACUUUUGUGCUGCCUAUGGAUGCUCUAAUAGACGAUGUCUUCAAUCACAACAACGUGGGACCACCUUUCACUCAUUUCCCAAAGAUGGAGAAAGAAGGAGGUAGUGGGAAGUUGCCCUAAGAAGUGUCUGCGAUCUUCCUCAGGGCUGACGCUCAGUGGCGUCACGAUCAAAACUGUCAGCAAGGAUUUGUUGUGCGGCGAGCCAUGACCAAGCUGUCCUGUGAUGUCUGCCGUGCCAGCCUGGUGGGAUGCUGCAUCUGCCUGUGAUGACCAGAGCUACCAUUUGCUGACUCUGAAGAACAACGUGGGUCUUGUAGUCCCAUCUAAAGGUACUGUGAGGGUCAUCAGAGCAGCAGAGUGGGCAAUUCGCCAGGCUGCAGCCGGCAGACGAUCACAGCCCAUCAAACCACUGGAGGUCAUCUACAUUGUGCGCAAGAGGAUCGGGUCAGAGGAUGUGUUUUUGCUUGGGGAGCACAUCAGUGAGACACAGUACAGAAUUGAGUCUCACUCCCAUACACUGUUGUUGUAAUCUAUUGUCUCCCUGUUCUUUAAGCUGAGGAUGCACCACAUUGCAAGAUUAGCAACUCUUAGCUUUCAGUGUGACAGCGUGAGACCGAAGCUCACAAAAGCUGUCCUUUUCAAAGGUCAGUAGGAAAUCACAAUGUGCUUUAGCAUCUGUCAGUAGAUGUGUUAUUUUUAUCAUCAAAAACAUGUAUAAUCUGUAAUAAACAAGUUUUUCAUAACUGU